rnacentral:rRNA from 1 species
AUCAGGUAGGGAUACCCGCUGAACUUAAGCAUAUCAAUAAGCGGAGGAAAAGAAACCAACAGGGAUUGCUCUAGUAACGGCGAGUGAAGCAGCAAUAGCUCAAAUUUGAAAUCUGGCGUCUUCGACGUCCGAGUUGUAAUUUGUAGAGGAUGCUUCUGAGUGGCCACCGACCUAAGUUCCUUGGAACAGGACGUCAUAGAGGGUGAGAAUCCCGUAUGCGGUCGGAAAGGCGCUCUAUACGUAGCUCCUUCGACGAGUCGAGUUGUUUGGGAAUGCAGCUCUAAAUGGGAGGUAAAUUUCUUCUAAAGCUAAAUAUUGGCCAGAGACCGAUAGCGCACAAGUAGAGUGAUCGAAAGAUGAAAAGCACUUUGGAAAGAGAGUUAAAAAGCACGUGAAAUUGUUAAAAGGGAAGGGAUUGCAACCAGACUUGC